rnacentral:rRNA from 1 species
GACGAACGCUGGCGGCGUGCUUAACACAUGCAAGUCGAACGGAAAGGCCCUGCUUUUGUGGGGUGUUCGAGUGGCGAACGGGUGAGUAACACGUGAGUGAGCUGCCCUUGACUUGGGGAUAACUUCAGGAAACUGGGGCUAAUACCGGAGAGGAGCUCCUGCUGCAUGGUGGGGGUGGGCUAGGUUCGGCGGUUGGGGAUGGACUCGCGGCUGAUCAGCGUGUGGGUGGGGGAGUGCCUUACCAAGGCGUGGACGGCUAGACGGCCUGGGAGGGUGACCGCCGACAUUGGGACUACGGUACGGCCCAGUCUCCUACGGGAGGCAGCAGUGGGGAAUCUUGCACAGUGGGCGGGAGCCUGAUACAGCAACGCCGCGUGCGGGAUGACGGCCUUCGGGUUGUAAACCGCUUUCGCCUGUGAUGAAGCGUGAGUGACGGUAAUGGGUAAAGAAGCACCGGCUAACUACGUG